rnacentral:rRNA from 1 species
UACGUAGGGGGCAAGCGUUGUCCGGAAUCAUUGGGCGUAAAGAGCGUGUAGGCGGCCCGGUAAGUCCGCUGUGAAAGUCCAGGGCUCAACCCUGGGAUGCCGGUGGAUACUGUCGGGCUCGAGUCCGGAAGAGGAGUGUGGAAUUCCUGGUGUAGCGGUGAAAUGCGCAGAUAUCAGGAAGAACACCCGUGGCGAAGGCGGUUCUCUGGGACGGUACUGACGCUGAGACGCGAAAGCGUGGGGAGCGAACAGG